rnacentral:rRNA from 1 species
AGGGCGACUCUUUGGUCUGUAACUGACGCUGAGGAGGGAAAGCGUGGGGAGCGAACAGGAUUAGAUACCCUGGUAGUCCACGCCGUAAACGAUGAGUGCUAAGUGUUAGGGGGUUUCCGCCCCUUAGUGCUGCAGCUAACGCAUUAAGCACUCCGCCUGGGGAGUACGGUCGCAAGACUGAAACUCAAAGGAAUUGACGGGGGCCCGCACAAGCGGUGGAGCAUGUGGUUUAAUUCGAAGCAACGCGAAGAACCUUACCAGGUCUUGACAUCCUCUGACAACCCUAGAGAUAGGGCUUUCCCUUCGGGGACAGAGUGACAGGUGGUGCAUGGUUGUCGUCAGCUCGUGUCGUGAGAUGUUGGGUUAAGUCCCGCAACGAGCGCAACCCUUGAUCUUAGUUGCCAGCAUUCAGUUGGGCACUCUAAGGUGACUGCCGGUGACAAACCGGAGGAAGGUGGGGAUGACGUCAAAUCAUCAUGCCCCUUAUGACCUGGGCUACACACGUGCUACAAUGGACAGAACAAAGGGCUGCGAGACCGCAAGGUUUAGCCAAUCCCACAAAUCUGUUCUCAGUUACGGGCGGGAGUGCAACUCGCCUGCACGAAGCACCGCCGCAAGCAAACGCGCGAUAGCAGCCGCGGAUAAUCGUUAGC